CGGAGUCCGUCCGAGGGCUCCCGCACCUCGGGCUGCGGGAACAUUAAAAUCUCCCCAGAUGCUCACUGCUCUGAUCAUUUCCCCUACAGCACCAGACAUGUUGGCAUCAUCUCUUAGUUGGGCCCUGUGGCCAGGGAACCCCUCAUGAAACCACCUCUGCAGUCCUGGAGAGUUGCUGUAGAAGAAGGAAAAGAGAGGAAGACAACACAACGCAGGAGGGGAUAAGUACCUCUGGACACAAUGGAAGUAGUAGUUGUUGAGCAGAGGGAAAGGGAUAGGGGAAGGAUGUGGACUGCAGUGCUGCAGUGCCAGUGGACGUGAGAGAAAGAUCCCAUAGCCCUCUUGGUCUUGGUUGGAACAGGAGGAAAACUGGACAUCCAUCUUAGGACUUAAUCCUACGGAGACGACAAGCUGGAAGAGGCACUCAAUAUUAGCAUGGCUUCUGUGGCAUUUUGAUGAGUAGCAUGGGCUCCACACUUAAAUAUUAAUAUCUUAUUGUUUUGAUGAUGAUGAUGAUGAUGUUCAUUGGCCCAGGGCAAAAGGUAAAGGUUGUGUUAUAAAGCUGAUUUAUUCAAUCUCUGUGGAUGUUCACUCCACCCCAUCCCCUUAUUGAACAAUUACGAUGCCUAUAAGUAUUGUAUUGAGAAAGAAAAAAAAAA
rnacentral:lncRNA from 1 species